rnacentral:rRNA from 1 species
GAUGAACGCUGGCGGCGUGCUUAACACAUGCAAGUCGAACGGAAAGGCCCUGCUUUUGUGGCGUGCUCGAGUGGCGAACGGGUGAGUAACACGUGAGUAACCUCCCCUUGACUUUGGGAUAACUUUAGGAAACUGGGGCUAUAACCCGAUAGGAUCUCCUGCUCCAUGGUGGGGGUUGGAAAGUUUCGGCGGUGGGGGAUGGACUCGCGGGUUAUGCGCUUGUUUGUGGGGUAGUGGCUUACCAAGGGUUUGACGGGUAGCCGGCCUGAGAGGGUUACCGGGGACAUGGGGACUACGAGACGGACCAGAAGCCAACGGGAGGCAGUAGUGGGAAAUAUGACACAAUGGGCGGACGCGUGAGGCAGCGACGCCGGGUGCGUGAUGACGGCCUUCGAGUUGUGAACCGCUUUGGCCUGAGACGAGGCGUGCGUGACGGUAAUGGAUAAAGAAGCACCGGCUAACUACGUG